CUUUCUUCUUCCCUCUUUUAUAACUACGAUUUCUUUGAGGAUCCAGAAAUUAAGACAAUAAUUUUUAAAUCAUGAAAGCCAUGAAGAUGUUCCUCAACUAUAUAUUGUCUAUACGAUCUACCACGCCUCCGACCUGACAUCGUAAGUUAAAAGUCGUGACAAUUGCCACAUACUCGUAGGGACACUCCCCACAAGCAUUCAAGAUAAAUCACGAUAACAAAAAACAAACAAUGGAAUAAAUUUAAAUGACCAAUGUUCAAACUUUAAUUUAAAUAACUACAAAUAAAAUUUUAAUAUCUUACAAAACCAGCAAUAUUCAAAAUAUCUUUCACCAAACUUUAGUCAAAUCUUGAUCUAAAUUAAAGAUAUCAAAUUCAGCGUC
rnacentral:lncRNA from 1 species